rnacentral:tRNA from 1 species
GAGGUUGUAGCUCAGUAGUAGAGCACUUGCAUCGCAUGCAUGAGGCCCUGGGUUCAAUCCUCAGCACCACA